CAUUCCCUGGGGAGGUGGUCCCAGCCUGGAGUGGUCUCACCCUUCACCAAGAUGUGCCCAGAGCCUAUCAAUUUCAGUUCUUAAAAGCGUCCGGCUGAGACUACUGACCUCGAACGCUGACAACCUAAGGAAACGCCCAUGAGACAGCAAACCACGUGACUCCUUUCCCUGUUCAGGAGUUUUACCCUCAGAACCAAGCUACGAUGAUGUGAAGAGGUCAAGCAGCCAUGUGAAAAGGCCACAUUUAGGUGUUCCAAGCACAGCCCUAGUUAUCUAACCAGCCAGCAGUCAUCAUCAAUCACUAGAUGUUAGUGGAUAACAGAACAAGAACUAAUACGUGAUCUUAGCAAAGUAACAGAUUACAAGGUCAACAUACAAAAAUCAAUUGGAUUUACAUAUAUACUAGCAGCAAACUGUUGUGUUGAGUCUGAAGUUGCCAGGCUGGCAGAUGUGAAAAAAAUCCAGAUGUAAAAGUAUAACAGAGUUAUAAGCAACUGGAACCCACGUCUAUCUCAAGUUGCCUUCACCCGUGAUAAUGCAAGUGACCCGCAGGUGAAGCUGGCAUCCUUCACCAAAAAAAUAUAUAUGACUCACAUAGAAGUUGAAUGAGGAAAUUCACCAGGAGAUCCAGCACUUUGGAGAAGCUGCAGAAGAAGAUGCUGCGGGAGAUGGAGAACUUAGAGGCACAGAUGUUGCUCCAAAUCCACAGUGAGCCAGCAGAUCAGCAAGAAUUAUACAACCUGUUCAGUUUCUGGUACCCUACACUGACCUUUAGAAUGUAGAAAUAACUGUUGUUUAACACCCUCCCUGGUGGUUUAUUUGAACUUUUU
rnacentral:lncRNA from 1 species